ACACAAGUUUCCCCCCAUUUGAAAGUCAAGAUGAAGAGGUUUACGCUCAGUUUUUUAGGCCACUUAUUCUUACACUUAAGGCAUUGGUUGAUGUUAAUUGGCUGGAUCGGGAUAUGGAUUCUAUCACUCAUGAUGUUUCAUACUUAAGAAAUCUUUUUCAUGCAAUCAAAAAGGCAGAGGAUGCUAUUGAUGACCAUAUGACUCAUAAGCUUCAUAUUUUAGGAGAUAUUGGAAUUUCUUUUUUGAAUUCAUUGGCUAACAGCAGUUCCUCUUCAU